rnacentral:lncRNA from 1 species
AUCUACCCUUUUUAGGGUGAUUCGGUCAAUUUUGAAUAAAUCAAAUUUCAUCCAAUUCAUUUUGACCAGUUUACCUAUUUUAGGGCAAUUCAGUCAUUUUUGAAUAAAUCAUCAAUUUUAUCCAAUCCAUUUGACCUGCUUUUUCCCCUUUUAGGGUUUAGGUCUAUGGUUCACUGAAUGAAUUAAUUGAGACAUUGCAAUCUCUUUUAUACAUUAUUUCAUGCGUCGAUCAAAGCAAGCAAUCCAUUCGGACUUUGCCCUCAUUUUUAGAAAAAUGCUUUUUUCACUCCAAUGGGCCAAAUUUGUUCAAAUCAUUUUUUC